rnacentral:lncRNA from 1 species
GAAGAAGAUUAUUUCAUGCAUUUAGAACAAUUUGGGCAGUUGUUCUGAGAUAUUAACAGUCAUGAGGUCUAGUCACAGCUGUCAUUUCCUAGCUAUGACCUGCAGAAGCUGAUGGUACCUUUCUCGGACUCAGCUGACUGAUCUAUAAAUGGAGAUUCAAUUUAAUUCAGGUCUAUAUAUGAAAGGGAGGGCAAGUCAUGCCCACAGAAGAGCCAGAACAAAAGCUCAAAAGUCUGAAGGCUUGCUGUGAGCUUGGGGAACUAUGCCCUGUUUCUCAUUGCUGAAGAAUUCGGGGUUGACAAGCCUGGAAGAACUGGAGUGGACAAUGUCUAGUGGCAAUCAUUCAGGUAGGUGCCUCACGGAAAUGUUGUGAGGAGACAGUAAAAUGAGGUAUGUGAAAGCAGACUGUAAACUGUAGAACAAACAAAUAUAACACAGUAUAUUUUUAUUAUGAAAACAGCAAAUGUUGGAGGGCAAAGUAAAGUGGGAAGAUAGCAACACGAGAAGGCAAGUUUUUUCUAAAUGAAGGAUGUGCUAGAAAGUAAUGAGAUCACACUUGCAAUGUAAGGCCACUCAACUGGAAAGCUUUGAAGGCAACAGACAUGUUUGACAUUUGAUCUGAAAAGUCAGUAGAUGCUUCUGGAGGUUGAGAUGAAUGGCAUGGGAUAAAUAAUGGGCAGUUCUGGACUUCUCGGUGUAGGGAAAGAGUUAGAAUCCAGCAAAGAGUUCUAGGAACCCAGAUAUGACUUGCUACAUUUCUCCCAGGAUGGGAAAUAUGAAUUUUUUAAAGUCCUGAAUUCCAAUAAUGGUGAGCCCUAUGACAAGAAGAAAAAGUGAGGACCUUGAAGAAAGAAUCUUGAAGUUGGAAGGGACUCUCCAGAGACAGCACAACACAGUGGAUAGAAGUACAAGAUAGGGAGCCCAGCUAUCCAGUACUAGACCUCUGCCCCAUCACUUUCAGCUGCAUGGGAGAGUUGUUUAACCUCUCUGUGCCUCAAAUCCUCAUCUAUAAAACAGGAAUAAUGCAAUCUACUUCUCAGAGUUGUUAUAAAGAUUAAAUAAAUAUAAAUUACAGUGCUCAAAGUGCUGUCUGUUGGGUAUUUAAUAAAUGUUAGAAUUUAUCAAUUCUACCUCCUACUUUAAAAAUGGGAACACUGAGGUCUGAAGAAAUUGAAUUGCCAACAGCUUAGUACUUUUUAGAUCUGCAUAUUAACAGC